ACCACGACAUGGCCGCAAAUCGGCCAAGAACCCUAGAAAUAUUUUCCUCCCUUUUCUCGUUUAGGGUUUUGUGGGACAAGGGAAGAAUGUCCUCCGACGAAGAUGACGCGCGAGAGAUGGCUCAGAUGCGCGCCAUCGCCAAAGCUCAGCAUCGGUCCAAUGGGCGUGCUGCUGCUACUCCUUCUGCGAAUACCAUGGAGGAGUUUUACGAGGCAGACCAGCUGAGAGGCCACUUUCCCUUGUCUUUUGGAAGGCAAGAGAAGUCGAUAGCAUCUGUAGAGGCUGUCCACACGCUCACAAAGCGAUCGAGCAGCGAAGACGAGUCCCAGCUUAACAAAAAUCUUAGCGAGCGUUUGAAGAAAGUAGCGGAAGCUAACCAUAACUUGGAGCGUCCAAGCGAGCAAAGUUUGAGCACUCGAGAAGAUGGCUCUAUGGUUGGGCCGCCGAGACCAGAGGAGGAAGAGGCAGCAGCAGAAGAAUUGAUUGGACCUCCUAGACCGUCUACGGUUGCUCUAAGUGAUGAGAAAGAUGAUACCGAGCCUGCGUUGGUCGGUCCUCCUCGACCAAACGAUGGAGCUGGCAGUGAUAGUGACGAAGAAGAAGAAGAGGACGACGACGAAUAUCAUGUUCCUCUAAGCAAUGAGAUUAUUCUCGGGGGACACACAAAGGUUGUUGCCGCUUUGGCCAUUGAUCCCUCUGGGUCCAGAGUUUUGACAGGGAGCUACGACUACUCGAUCCGGAUGUAUGAUUUCCAAGGCAUGGAUUCCCGUCUGCAGUCGUUCAGGCGGAUUGAGCCGUUUGAAGGACAUCAGAUGCGAGCAAUUAGCUGGAGUCCCUCGGCGGAUCGUUUUCUUGCUGUGACAGGGUCUGCAAGAGCCAAGAUAUUUGACAGAGACGGUCUGUCAUUAGGCGAAUUCAUCAAAGGGGAUAUGUACAUACGGGACUUGAAGCACACUAGCGGGCAUAUUUCUGGUUUGACGGGUGGUGAGUGGCAUCCGUCGGAGAAGAACACGAUAUUAACAUCGUCGGAAGAUGGAUCAUUACGAAUAUGGGACGUGACCAACUUGAAAUCUCAGAAACAGGUCAUCAAGCCUAAACUUGCAAGACCAGGUCGUGUUUCUGUUACGGCUUGCGCAUGGGGUUUAGAAGGAAAAACGAUCGCGGGGGGAUUGGCAGAUGGAUCCAUCCAGAUCUGGUCUAUCAAACCAGGAUGGGGCAGCCGUCCGGAUAUUUAUCUGAGUAAGGCCCAUGCCGCGGGUGACGACGUAACUGCGAUCCGGUUUUCUGUUGAUGGUUACACAAUGGUUUCCAGGAGCACCGACGCUACUCUAAAAGUUUGGGACAUCCGGAAAGCUCGAGAACCUCUGAAGGUGUUUUCAGGGCUUCCUUGUUUUUACGCACAAACGAAUUUGGCCUUCAGUCCAGAUGAGCACCUAAUUCUAACUGGUACUUCUGUUGAGAAGGGAGGAAAUGCCGGUGGACAGCUUUACUUCUUUGACAAAAGGCAACUUGAGAUUGUUCGGAAAACCGGGAUAUCCUCGUCAGGAAGUGUUGUUUGCUGUACUUGGCAUCCGCGAUUGAAUCAGAUAUUUGCCACUACGGGCGACAAAAGAGAAGGCAAUACUCACGUGUUGUACGACCCGGUUUUGAGCAAGAGAGGAGCGCUGGUUUGUGUUGGGCGGGCUCCACGAAAAAAAUCCGUGGACGACUUUGAAGCUCCACCAGUGGUUAGAAAUCCGCAUGCUCUGCCUAUGUUCAGAGACGAACCAAGCCGCAAGCGUCAACGAGAAAAGGCUCGAAAUGAUCCUCUGAAAUCCCGGAGACCGGACUUACCCAUCAAUGGUCCUGGUCAUGGUGGUCGUGUGGGUGCGACAAAGGGAAGCUUGCUCACUCAAUACUUACUGAAGGAGGGUGGAGCAAUGACGGAGAACUGGAUGGAGGAGGAUCCUCGGGAAGCAAUAUUGAAGUAUGCCGAACUUGCUGCAAAAGAUCCCAAGUUUAUUGCUCCUGCAUACGCACAAACUCAGCCGGAACCAGUUUUUGACACAACUGUUUCGGACGAGGAAGAGAAAUGAACAAACUUGUACCAGAUUACAGGCCACACAGCUUGGCGUCGAUCAGGUUAGUGUUCCUACGCAACCAGAACUUCGCCCGUAUGUAAUUUUUCUUUGCUUGCAACAACAGGUUGCCUCAUUCAUCUUUCGUCUCCCGUCCAGAAGUUUUUUUGCUUCGGUCCAGUGGGACCUUCUUCGCCAGACAGUUCGUUCGGAAACCUGUUAAAGAUAUCUUCGAUGGACCUCCUUAUCUUUUUGGGAAGGAAUUUGAACACCUUUUCCAGCUCGGUCCUGGAGUUAUACUGGAUCUUGGGGCCCCAUUCACGCAUGAACUGGAGCCAAGGUGGCUCCUCUACACCCAAGUAAGCUGCAGAUAUCAGCUGGUGUUUACUAACGUCCCAGGUGAAGCUGCUCCGCUUUGUAUCGUUGCGUAUCCCGAGCCCGCGUUCUUCGUCGCCUUGGAGGUUGUCUCCCGGAUGAGCAUAAAGGGCAUGGCCGUGCUUGGACGCGUACACAAACGGCCUAUAGGUGGUGGUGCUAUCAAACUCCAAGUCGGAAGGCUGAUACCAGGUGCCGGAGCUGUGGUGUCCGAGAUAGACGCUGGACAAAUUCCCGGUGAAGUUGUCCACGCGAAGGGUCAGGUGCUCCCAGUCAGAGACGUGCUCCCCGAUUUUCCCGAGCUUGACGCUGAUGAGCCCGACUUUGAGAGUUGCCGGGCCGUUGAAAGGAUAGUAGAACCAGAACUGCAUGUCGGUGAACGUUCCGCCAAAUACAGGCUUGACGUGCAGCUGCAGCAUCGCGUGGCAAGUCGAGCCAGUAGCUCCCGUCGUUGGUCUCGCCACCCGGCAGAUUCGCACCGUUCGCAGUGAUUUGUACCGGAGCGGACGGGUUCUGUUUGCUGUAGAGCAGAGCUCCGUUUUGGAAGAACCACUCGACGGAGCAAGGGAAGAAGUCUUCGUCCGGAUGCAGGAACAUUAUCGGGGCGUAGCGCUUGACGAGAGCAUCGAGCUGCUGCAAGCUAGGCAUGGAGGAAGGCAGAUCGAAGCUCACGUUUUGGAGCGUGGCUAUGGAAGGCAGAGGGGAUGAAGAGAACGAGGAACAGUAGAAGGUGCCGGUACUCAGCCCCUUGGCCGUGACUCCCACCUCACGCGGCCGUGUUUGCCAGACGUAGAAGCUUUCCACGGUGUUGUUGUCGGCGACGCUCCUACUGCUCAUUAGAAGUCUACUCCACAGGGACUGGAACAAUCCGGUGAAAACAGAAGAGGAAGAACUGGACACGGAAGAGGACGAAGAGGCCCAGAUGGAGUUGGAGAUAGUGGCAUCGCUGGUGAGAUCCUCUCGAACGCAGGCAACCUCGUCCACACCAGGCUUGGCGACGCUGGCGACGAAGCCGAGUGCCUUGUAACCAGCGGGAGGCAGAGACGAGUGAGUAGUCGACGGGUGGAGCGAGAGGAGCUGGUUUGGAGGCACCGGCGGUGACGCCGCUGCCUCGCACUAACAGCAGCAAGCUAUCAGGCUUGUAAAAGAGAGCUCUUCCAUCGCUCGUCUCCCAGAUCUUCUCCAGGUGCUCGGCCUCGAGGACCUCGAUCUCUCCAAGCGGAAUCACUCGGGUGCCAAAGCCUCUGGGUUUGCUGUCCAUUGCGCGGUGCUGCGGUGGCACAUUCCAGGAAAACUUUUGCUUCGGCCUUUAAAGAUCACACAUAGCGAGGCCGAGUCUUGGCACAGACGUGGCAGUAAUCGUGACGGUUGAUAUUGGUUGGUGUAAGAUUGCAAGAUACGUAUAUUACUUGCGAUUGUACAAAGAGUCUUUGACGAGCGCUUCAAGGGAGCGAGCUCGAGGGGAUUAUUAGCCUAUAUUCUCUUGAUAAAACAUUCUUAUCAUCACUAUAAAAA